GUGAACUCCGAGAAAAAUUCAAAACGAAAAGUCCCUCAUUAAAUGGCAAAAUCAAUAGAACAAACAGCACAUAAAACAAGUGGACAACAACUGUCAUAUUACUGACUUGCUACAGGCUUUUUCUUAUGUAGACAAUGGUGGAUCGAACCUGGUUUGAUAGCUAGCUAAACCUCUUACUUGUAUGACAGUCGCAUCAAAUUCCACUAUGAAGCAAACACAUUUGUCAAACUUAUGUUUUUUUUUUAUAAAAAGAUUAUACCACAAUGUUGUACCUCUGUUUUUGACAUUUUUUACAUAUAUCAUCUGUUUGUUUAAUUCAUGCAUCGUUGUCAAUAUAAUGGAAUUUGAUACGACUGUAAUACAAGGGAGAGGUUAAACUAGCUAUACACCAGGUUCAAACCACCAUUUUCCACAUAAACAAGGACUGUACUAAGUCAGGAAUAUUAGAGUUGUUAUACCUUCGUUUGAUAUGUUUGAGCUUUUGAUUUUGCCAUUUGAUUGGCAACAUUCGUUUUUGAAUUAUUUUCGUAGAUCAGUAUUUUUGUGAAGUUACUUAUGUCAAAAUGAUAACUUUUAUGUCUUACUAUACGUUAGUUUUUUUUUCUUAUUGUUGAAGGUCUUUCGGUAACAUUUGUUACCAUCAUCGUUUUUUUGUGGCUAGUUUACAAUCAUUUCACAUCAUUUUAAUUAUACAGUAUUUGGAGAUCUUAAAUAAGCUUACCAACAGACGAAGGAUGCCAUGUGUGGAGCAGGAUUCGCUUUCCCUUCCGUUGCACCUAAGAUCACCCCUAGGUUUUGGUAGGGGGUUCGUGUUGCUUUUUUUUAGUCUUCUAUGUUGUGUCAUGUGUACUAUUGUUUGUCUGUUUGUCUUUUUCAUUUUUUGCCAUGGCGUUGUCAGUUUAUUUUAGAUUUAUGAGUUUGACUGUCCCUCUGGUAUCUUUUGUCCCUCUUUUAUACAAAAGUGACCUUCAAACUCAAAAAUAAACUACUAACUCCAAGGCUAAAGAAGAAAACGACAAACAGAUAAAGAACAGUACAUAGAAAACCAAAGAUUAAGCAACAUGAAACCUUCUAAAAACUAAGGUUGAUCUUAUGUGCUUUUGAAGGGCAAACAGAACAAUUCGGACUUCCUUCUGAUUAAAAGUCUUGGCAUCGUGACCCAAGGUUCUUUAUCCACAAGCGGGAUACGUCGUGUUGCUAAUGUUUGUACAAACUCAGUUGAAAGUCUCAUUCGGUAGAUCAAUCUGUCUAUAAAUAAUCUGGUGAUAUUGUCAAUAAGAUAACUAUUUACUAUGUAACAAAUAAAGUUGACCCAAAACAGUUUUUGGUCACUGUUCGGCCUUUAGUGAUGAAAGUAAAUCAUAUCGAUUAAAAAAGAUAGAAAACCUAAAUAUAAAAAAUAAACAAUUGAAAAAGUAACUCUAUUACAGUUAACUCUCGUUGUCUCGAACUCGGUUGACUCGAAAUUUCGGAUGAGUCGAAGUUUUCACGUGGUCCCGAACUUUAUUCCAUACAAAAGUAUGUAAUUCGACUCCUGAUGAGUCGAAAUUGGAUGAGUCGAAAUUUCGGUUGAGUCGAACUAAAUUUACGGUCCCAAGGUUAACAAAAGCAUUCAAAAAUCAUUUUUUAUCUCGAACUAAUACACAUAUGUCAAAACAUGACCUCCGGGAUUUAAAUGGAUUGAAGGGUUAAUCUGACAAUACACGUGUAAUUAAAUUUCCGGUCACUGACCACUGUAUUGAUUUAUGACAUGCUAUUUCCAUGAGUGUUUUCCUAAGAUUAUCUUUUGUAGAAUUUUUAUAAAUAAUUAGUGAUAAAUUGUUAAUGUUCAUGAAAAAGUAUUUAAAUGUUUACAAAACAAUUAAUUUGUGAUUUACACUAAUGAGCUUGGGUGUGUAUAAAGUGAGGAUUUUGGCUUCCGUUGAUGAUCACCUAAAAACUACUCAAACGGCGUCUUUAAUCUAAUUAUAUGUUCUUUUGAAAACAAAGAGUGAGAUAAAACAAAAUGAAUAGAAAUCAAAAUUUUCUUAAAUCUCUUGUAUCCGAGAAUAAACAAUUUUGUCAGCUAUUAGCGACCUGAAUUACGAAACUGUCGAUUGGAAAUUACUCUCUUGGAAAAGCCAUAGGAUUUUUUUUUUAAUUGAAACAAUUGAAUAAGUAAAAAUAACAGUCAUUAUAAUAAUAAAAGACUGUGACAUACAAAUACAUCGAUCUGAUACUAGAAUAUCGAUCCCCUUGUCAUAUUCACCCGGAUUUAUUUUAGCUUUACCAAACUAAGCAAGAGUUGUGUCCCUUAGAAUGUCGAACUUCCGGUGUUCGUUUGAGUCGAACUACGUGUAUCUCGAAAUAUUUCUCUGGUCCGACUGACUUCGACAUAACGAGAGUCGACUGUAUUUG
rnacentral:lncRNA from 1 species